GGCAAAUGAUGUUUUUUCUCACGAUGGUCUGCGGAUGCCACUGUGUGCAGUGCCGAGAACGCCAAAGGCUUAGCUGAUGCCAGGAG
ensembl:snoRNA SNORD35A small nucleolar RNA, C/D box 35A